rnacentral:rRNA from 1 species
UUAGCCGUGGCUUAUUCGCGAGGUACCGUCAGAUCUUCUUCCCUCGCAAAAGGGGUUUACAACCCUAGAGCCUUCAUCCCCCACGCGGCGUUGCUCCGUCAGGCUUUCGCCCAUUGCGGAAAAUUCCUUG